rnacentral:tRNA from 1 species
AAAAAAUAACUAAAAAAUAACAAGGGAAGAAGCUACAAUUACAGCAAUUAGUUGUUACCUAAGAGAA